UUAGAACAUAUUUGGGAAUGGCUUUAGUCACAAGUAAAUUAUCUAUUGGAUGGCUCUGGAAGCCUUUUACUUUGGCCAUUUUUUAGGAAACAAUUUCAAUUUCUUUGUUAAUAUUUUUCCAUUUAAAGUAUAUAUGGGAGUGCCUUUCUCCCUUUAAUAAUUAGUUUUCCUAAAUUCCAGUUUGUUUCUUUUCGCCAUUUUCAUGUUGUGUUGUGUCUUUUUGUUGUAGGUCAUCAAUUUAUAGGUUUUCGAUAUAAUCGAAGUAGGCAGGUCAAUUAAUUGGUUUGAGGCAAAGGUGGUGUUGGGUAUGAGGGAUAGAAAUUCAAAGGAGCAUGAUCAUCCAAAAAAGGAUCUUCACACAAGGUAAGCUUUAAUUGUUUUAAAAUUUAAUUCUGUUUGAUUUUACAACUUUCAAAAAUUCUUCUUCCUUAUAACAAGACUCUUAGUCUUAAUAAAAUUUGAGUUUAAUUAUUCGCUCCCCUUACAAAAUUUGAGUUUAAUUCUAUUUGGCGGUUUGUAUGAUUUAUUUGCUUUUCUAUUCAUUUGUUUACUUUAGUAAUGGAUACAUAUGUCUAGUCUUACUUCAUCAUUGAAUGACAUAAUUCAG